rnacentral:miRNA from 3 species
AGGUCAAGGUUCACAGGGGAUC